CGUGCUGGAUACUAUUUUUCUGGGGGGGCCAGUGGGCUAUCAACCAAUAUGCGCCCCUAUAAUGUGACGCUUGAUAAACGAGGGCCGAAGGCACGAGCCGAGCGCCGCAGGUGCGAGGUGUUCCUAGGGGGGUCCGGGGGCAUGGCCCCCCGGAAAAUUUUUAAAUUUAGAGUCUCUGAAAUGCCAUUUCCUGGACUUUGGGGGGAAGAUUUGACAGAAAUCUGAUGGUCAGGAAACGAGAUUAUAACGAGUCGAAAUUUGCAAUUUGGUUAGAAUUUCCGUAGAGGAACUUAAAUUGGUACGGUAUCAGUUUUACUAUAAAUCUUUAUUUUAGAUUAAUUGUGGAGGAACAAAGUCAUUCGUUGAGUAUAUUUGUAUAAAAUAUUUUGAUUUAUAAUAAACGCCGAUCUCACUAAUAACUUGUAAUGUUUUACUAAAACGGUGUGCUUGCACUUUAUUCAUACGAAUCUGUCAUGUUUUUUGUCAAAACAUACAAAAAGAG